rnacentral:rRNA from 1 species
GACGAACGCUGGCGGCGUGCUUAACUCAUGCAAGUCGAACGGAAAGGCCUUUUCGGAGGUACUCGAGUGGCGAACGGGUGAGUAACACGUGGGUGAUCUGCCCUGCACUCUGGGAUAAGCCUGGGAAACUGGGUCUAAUACCGGAUAGGACCGCACUUUAGUGUGUGUGGUGGAAAGUUUUUUCGGUGUAGGAUGAGCCCGCGGCCCAUCAGCUUGUUGGUGGGGUAAUGGCCUACCAAGGCGGCGACGGGUAGCCGGACUGAGAGGUUGGUCGGCCACAUUGGGACUGAGAUACGGCCCAGACUCCUACGGGAGGCAGCAGUGGGGAAUAUUGCACAAUGGGCGCAAGCCUGAUGCAGCGACGCCGCGUGGGGGAUGACGGCCUUCGGGUUGUAAACUCCUUUCGCCAGGGACGAAGCGUUUUGUGACGGUACCUGGAGAAGAAGCACCGGCUAACUACGUG